GUCCAGAUAAAAGAUAAAUAACCCGAAAUGAAACCUUGAAAAGAUGCUGAAGCUUCAUGGACUUUUUUCACCUUCCUGUUCAUAAAACAUCAGGGAUCAGCGCCACCUGCUGCUUAUCUGACUCACCUGCAGCCUAUAUUCAAACACCUGGUGAAGUGGAUUGUUAAUUUUUGUGUCCAGUCUGUCUGCUUAACUUUUCAAUAUUUUUUCUUCUAUAAGCAGAUGUCGGAAGGGUUUAAUGAAGAAAAAACCUCAUAAUUCGUUACAAAUAGCACCACGAAAUCAGUGACUUUGAUUGGAUAAAAUGCCAAAACGAACCGUGAAAUCCUGGAGAGUCUGACGAAAUCUGAUUUUAGGUAUCAAGUUCAACUGUCAAGAGCUGGUGGUGUGAGAGGUGGAGGCAGACACGGAGACCAGGUGGAAGUAAAAUGAAGGUUUAAUGAUGUGUAACCGGUACAGAUGAUCCAACACAAACAGUCCUAAAUCCCAGGCAGCACUGCUGAGCGGAAACCUGGGCUCAUCACAGGUAGCGACAGGACAAACGAAAGGACUGAGGAACACGGACAGCUGACAAGACGACAAGGGUCCGACGAGGAACAAGGAACUUCUGUGUAUUUGAAAAUUCUGUAAUUUUCAAAUACACAGAAGGUAAUCAAGGAAACGAGACACCAGGGAGCAAUCAAGGUGAGGACAGGACAGGGACUCAAAGGACACGGAGAAAUCUAAAUAAACACAAAAAACUCAAAUCUCGACACCAACAUCAUGAAGGAAACAAGGUGUAGGAAGCAGAUGAGUGUUGCACUUCUGAAUAGGACAGGAAGUGCUUUUAUUCUCACAUUUCCAACAGGAUAUGUUCUUUUAACAUAGCAGCGAGAGAAGGUCAGAGGUCAGAUGCCAGAGGAUCAGUUUUUCCCUACGAUGAAUUUGUGAUUGUUCAAACUCUUCAACAUUUUAGUUAUUUGCUUGUUUUAUUAUCUGCAGUUCUUUUGUUUUUACGGUGACAAAAAAGCUAAAAUGAACAAAAUCCCAAUGUUAUCCAGUGCUAACCUUAGCAUGUUGGCUAUCACUAGCAUGUUGGCUAUCUUUAGCAUGUUGGCUAACCUUAGCAUGUUGGCUCUCUUUAGCAUGUUGGCUAACCUUAGCAUGUUGGCUAUCACUAGCAUGUUGGCUAUCUUUAGCAUGUUGGCUAACCUUAGCAUGUUGGCUAUCACUAGCAUGUUGGCUCUCUUUAGCAUGUUGGCUAACCUUAGCAUGUUGGCUAUCUUUAGCAUGUUGGCUAACCUUAGCAUGAUGGCUCUCUUUAGCAUGUUGGCUAACCUUAGCAUGUUGGCUAUCACUAGCAUGUUGGCUAUCUUUAGCAUGUUGGCUAGUCAUUUUUUAAAUGUUUUAGUUAGAAAACUUUCCCUCUUGGUUUUAGAAAUGUAUUCAGUCCUUAAUAGUUUAUGCUUCUUUUAUAUUAUUCAUUAGCAGAUGGUUUGUAGCAUUUUAUAAUAGAUUUUGUGAUAAAUCUCCUUCCUUUAAAGAUUGCGUUACGUUUCUCUCAAGUAGGGAAGAAAGUUUCCCUCCAUUCUGAUUGGCUGAUAGAUGUGAGAUCAGUUGAGUUUUUCCAAAAGUGAUUUAAACAUUUUAAUAGAGACUAAAAUAAAUACCAGACCAUUUCUAUUGAGUUUAGCUCAGUUUAUUUGUUGAAGACAGACAGAAAGUUUCCCUCACAGAUUCACCAUCUUUAACUGAGUCACAACAGGAAGUGAGGCGUAAAAGGAAGAAGAUGAGAUGGACUCUCCUCAUGGCAGGAAGUGGUUCUUGUUUCAUUAAGCAGGAAGGUGAAAGGUCAAGAUUCGACUCCACCAUCAGACAGCCGUCUGAAUGCUCUUAGCU